rnacentral:rRNA from 1 species
AGUGAACGCUGGCGGUAGGCCUAACACAUGCAAGUCGAACGGCAGCACAGUAAGAGCUUGCUCUUACGGGUGGCGAGUGGCGGACGGGUGAGGAAUACAUCGGAAUCUACUUUUUCGUGGGGGAUAACGUAGGGAAACUUACGCUAAUACCGCAUACGACCUACGGGUGAAAGCAGGGGAUCUUCGGACCUUGCGCGAUUGAAGGAGCCGAUGUCGGAUUAGCUAGUUGGCGGGGUAAAGGCCCACCAAGGCGACGAUCCGUAGCUGGUCUGAGAGGAUGAUCAGCCACACUGGAACUGAGACACGGUCCAGACUCCUACGGGAGGCAGCAGUGGGGAAUAUUGGACAAUGGGCGCAAGCCUGAUCCAGCCAUACCGCGUGGGUGAAGAAGGCCUUCGGGUUGUAAAGCCCUUUUGUUGGGAGAGAAAAGCAGCAGGUUAAUACCCCGCUGUUCUGACGGUACCCAAAGAAUAAGCACCGGCUAACUUCGUG